rnacentral:rRNA from 1 species
GACGAACGCUGGCGGCGUGCUUAACACAUGCAAGUCGAACGGAAAGGCCUUUUCGGCGGUACUCGAGUGGCGAACGGGUGAGUAACACGUGGGUGAUCUGCCCUGCACUCUGGGAUAAGCCUGGGAAACUGGGUCUAAUACCGGAUAGGACCGCACUUUAGUGUGUGUGGUGGAAAGUUUUUUCGGUGUAGGAUGAGCCCGCGGCCUAUCAGCUUGUUGGUGGGGUAAUGGCCUACCAAGGCGGCGACGGGUAGCCGGACUGAGAGGUUGGUCGGCCACAUUGGGACUGAGAUACGGCCCAGACUCCUACGGGAGGAAGCAGUGGGGAAUAUUGCACAAUGGGCGCAAGCCUGAUGCAGCGACGCCGCGUGGGGGAUGACGGCCUUCGGGUUGUAAACUCCUUUCGCCAGGGACGAAGCGUUUUGUGACGGUACCUGGAGAAGAAGCACCGGCUAACUACGUG